AUACGGAGGGUGCAAGCGUUACUCGGAAUCACUGGGCGUAAAGCGCGCGCAGGCGGUCUUUUAAGUUGGAUGUGAAAGCCUACGGCUCAACCGUGGAACUGCAUCCAAAACUAUUAGACUAGAGUGUGGGAGAGGAAGAUGGAAUUAGUUGUGUAGGGGUAAAAUCCGUAGAGAUAACUAGGAAUAACAAAAGCGAAGGCAAUCUUCUGGAACACUACUGACGCUGAGGCGCGAAAGCGUGGGGAGCAAACAGGAUUAGAAACCCCAGUAGUCC
rnacentral:rRNA from 1 species